rnacentral:tRNA from 2 species
AAUAAGGUGCCUGACAAAAGGGUUAUUUUGAUAGAAUAAAUCAUGUAGAUAUUCUACCCUUAUUA